rnacentral:tRNA from 3 species
GAGCCGGUAGCUCAGUCUGGUAGAGCAACGGACUUUUAAUCCGUGGGUCGCGGGUUCGAAUCCCGCCCGGCUCA